rnacentral:rRNA from 1 species
GACGAACGCUGGCGGCGUGCUUAACACAUGCAAGUCGAACGGAAAGGCCCUGCUUUUGUGGGGUGCUCGAGUGGCGAACGGGUGAGUAACACGUGAGUAACCUGCCCUUGACUUUGGGAUAACUUCAGGAAACUGGGGCUAAUACCGGAUAGGAGCUCCUGCUGCAUGGUGGGGGUUGGAAAGUUUCGGCGGUUGGGGAUGGACUCGCGGCUUAUCAGCUUGUUGGUGGGGUAGUGGCUUACCAAGGCGUUGACGGGUAGCCGGCCUGAGAGGGUGACCGGCCACAUUGGGACUGAGGUACGGCCCAGACUCCUACGGGAGGCAGCAGUGGGGAAUAUUGCACAAUGGGCGGAAGCCUGAUGCAGCAACGCCGCGUGCGGGAUGACGGCCUUCGGGUUGUAAACCGCUUUCGCCUGUGACGAAGCGUGAGUGACGGUAAUGGGUAAAGAAGCACCGGCUAACUACGUG